rnacentral:rRNA from 1 species
UACAGAGGGGGCAAGCGUUGUUCGGAAUUACUGGGCGUAAAGGGCGCGUAGGCGGCCUGCUAAGUCGAACGUGAAAUCCCUGGGCUUAACCCAGGAACUGCGUCCGAUACUGGCAGGCUUGAAUCCGGGAGAGGGAUGCGGAAUUCCAGGUGUAGCGGUGAAAUGCGUAGAUAUCUGGAGGAACACCGGUGGCGAAGGCGGCAUCCUGGACCGGCAUUGACGCUGAGGCGCGGAAGCCAGGGGAGCAAACGGG